ensembl:lncRNA
CCGUGACUGAAGUGAUGUGAUUUCCUCAUAGGAAAUUAAAAGUAGCCUCCACAGUUACAAAACGGCUGUUGAAACUGUGGCAAACACUUGUCAGCAACAUUAGAAGUGGGAUAAAUGUGUUAAUUUGAAGGGAGACGAGCAGCCUGGGGACACUGCUCUAAAAUGAGUCUCUCUGGGGAGAGAGAGGAGGGGGGCCCUGCCUCUAAAAUGAGUCUCUCUGGGGAGAGGAAGGAAGGGGGUCCUGCCUCUAAAAUGCAUCUAUCUGGGGAGAGAGAGGAGGGGGGCCCUGCCUCUAAAAUGCAUCUCUCUGGGGAGAGAGAGGAGGGGGGCCUUGCCUCUAAAAAGCAUCUUUCUGGGGAGAGGAAGGAGGUGAUCCCUGCCUCUAAAAUGCAUCUCUCUGGGGGACAUGACACCAAAACUAAGAGCCCAAUCCAUCAGGAGAGACCAGACUCACCCAGCUCUCUGUCCAUGAAUAGUGACGGGUCUAUGGACGUUUUCUAUGAUUGCAAAGAUGGAGACUUUUCUGCAUUUACAGGGUAAGUAGUACUCAUGGUACAUACCAGGUAUGUAUUCACAGAGCGACAGCAGUCUGUCCAUGAAAACUCCAUUCUAUGAUACUGCCAAUUACCUGCAACAAGGGAGACAUUUCUUAAAUCACAGAGUAAAUACUCAUGGUACAUACCAGGUAUCUAUUCACAGAGCGACAUAGUAACUUAUUUUAACAUCUGCCAUGGUCCAUCGGGAGAGACAAGACUCACCCAGCUGUCUGUCCAUGAAGAUUGACGGGCCUAUGGACCUUCCCUAUAAUUUCAACAUGGGAGACAUUUCUUCAACAAACAGAGUAAAUACUCAUGGUAUAUACCAGGUAUCUAAUCACAGCGUAAAUACUCCAGGUAUUGAUACAAAAACUUGUAUGUGUUCAAAAUGUUAAACACAGGUUCUACAAAUCCCAGGGCACAAAACAAAAAUCCAACUUUUAAAAGUUUAUAUUCUGUUAAUAACUCAUACCCAAAUAAUGUUGUUGACACAUCCUUUACUCAUAUUUGUGGCCAUAGCAUAAAUUGGAGAAAAAUACUUAAAAACCCAACCUCAAACUUGUAUCUCAAUCUGACCGUUUAAAAAUGCUGCUAUUUCCUCGUAGAACUUGAUUGCUCUUUGGCAGAGCUGACCAAUCAGCGGUCUAUUUAUGAGAAUGUUUGUAAUGAUUGUUAUACGCCCACAGCAUUCUGUUGUUGGGCUACGCCCACACCAUUCCCAUUCAACAUACUGUCCGGACCUCUGGCAGUCUUUAUAGGGGUGCCAUAGGAUUCAAUUCUCAGGCCGACUCUUUUCUCUGUAUAUAUCAAUGAUGUCGCUCUUGCUGCUGGUGAUUCUCUGAUCCACCUCUACGCAGACGACACCAUUCUGUAUACCUAUACUGCUCUUAAAUACAAGUAAAACAAAAUGCAUGCUCUUCAAAACGUUGAUUUUUCUAUUGUGUUAUUGACUGUACGUUUGCUAAUCCCAUGUGUAACUCUGUGUUGUUGUUUUUGUUGCACUGCUUUGCUUUAUCUUGGCCAGGUCGCAGUUGUAAAUGAGAACUUGUUCUCAACUGGCCUACCUGGUUAAAUAAAGGUGAAAUCAAAUUAAAAAUGUAAAACUUAAUUACCAUUUUUUAGAAGGAAAACUAUUUCACUCUCUUUUUAAUACAUUUUAGGUCAGAUUUCAUAGAAAUCUGGAAACACUGAACAGUUACUUUAAGGGUUUAUAGCUCAAUCAUCUAAGCUAGAGUUUAUGAACACAGGACGUAAGACCAACACAUAAACAAACUUAGUCCCAGAUACAAAUUAAAUCAAAUUGGUCACAUACACAUGGUUAGCAGAUGUUAUUUACAAUGACAGCCUAGGAACAGUGGAUUAACUGCCUUGUUCAGGGGCAGAUUUUUACCUUGUCAGCUCAGGGAUUCGAUCUAGCAACCUUUUGGUUACUGGCCCAACGCUCUAACCACGAGGUUACCUGCCGCCCCAGACAUACAUGGUAUUACAUGUUAUACAUAAUUAUUUUACAUAAAUCAUUGACAAAAGCACAAGACAUACUGUUGCAUGUAGGUCUAUAUUAUUUAUGGAUUGAUUAUAUAGAAAUAUCAAAACAUUAUUUUUAACUACUACAAAGCAUUUACAUGUGGCUCAGGAACCACUGACUCACUGCAUUAUUCUAUAGUAUUAUCAAGACACCUGCUGUUAACUCUUAACUACUUAGGACAGCUCACGAGGUGUCCUAAAUAUCUGCCGACUAGGUGGGACUAGAGACUUCAUGCAUAGCUUUAAUUUAUACCCAUAAGUGUAAAAUGUCUUUAUUCUCAGCACUUAUACGACCAAUUUUCUACUCUGAGACGCUUUGUGGACAUGGGCCCAGAUCUCAAAAUAUUGUUUAAAAAAACGUAGAAUGUUUGUUUAACAUAAUAAUAAAAAAUGAAUAUUACUAAUGUAACCCACUGUAAAGACUGGGUUUAGUUGAUUGUGUUGCACUGCUCAUGUCCGCGUUCUGGACCUUCCCGCGUCCCCGUACAGAACUAUCCGCGUCCACGUACAGAACUGUCCGCGUCCACGCACAGAACUGUCCGCGUCCCCGUACAGAACUGUCCGCGUCCACGUACAGAACUGUCCGCGUCCACGUACAGAACUGUCCGCGUCCACGUACAGAACUGUCCGCGUCCACGUACAUUGUGGCGCCAAGCAUAUUGUCCGGUUACGCGCAGAGUGGGCUGAGGUGAUUUUUGGGAAUAACGACUGAGUUUGUUACAGUGUUGAAACGCUGAAGUUUAUUGUUCAAUUAUCUUUUUGCUUUACGUUCAGGGACAGUAUGAGUGUAGCCAGAUCCUUUUCACUCUCUAUCCUCGUUUCAUUUUGUGUUUCACCGGAUUCGUCAUCGAGACGAGGGACAGACGAACGACCUGCUAGCUAGCCUAGCUAGUCGGUACAGCUCGGUAAGCUAGCUAGUUACUAAUUAGUAGCAUCGUAGUUCUCCUUCUCUCUCGUUGACGGAUGCUGGCUACCUCUGUCCGGUUCUCCUCUCUUCACUAGAUGGACGGUCACUUUAGUGUUUAACCCCUCUGUGUCCAAGGACCAAACUUUUGAAUAUUAUUUUCGGGGCUCCUCAGUAGGCUGGACACAUUCCGUUUAUUUUAAUUCUCAGCUGCCUCACCAAUGUCUGUAAGUAAAUUAAUAACUUUUAAUUGCUAAAUAUUUCCAAUAGAUGGCAGCAUAAGACCACGAAGCAUCAGUUAUAGGCUACAAGCAGCAAUAUGAUUGACAUAAAAUAGCAUGCAACCACAGACUAUAUGUCCCAUGAUUUUCUGAAAUGGUCACUCAUUACUUUAGUUAGUUAUAUAUCUCAUAUUAGGGCUGUGUUGCUUUAGGGAGAGAAACAAAAAUAGUGAGGUAUUGAAUAGUGAGGUAUUGAAUAGUGAGGUAAAAAUAGUGAGGUAUUGAAUAGUGAGGUAUUGAAUAGUGAGGUGUUGAAUAGUGAGGUAUUGAAUAGUGAGGUGUAAAUAGUGAGGUAUUGAAUAGUGAGGUGUAAAUAGUGAGGUGUAAAUAGUGAGGUAUUGAAUAGUGAGGUGUAAAUAGUGAGGUGUUGAAUAGUGAGGUAUUGAAUAGUGAGGUGUAAAUAGUGAGGUAUUGAAUAGUGAGGUGUAAAUAGUGAGGUAAAAAUAGUGAGGUAUUGAAUAGUGAGGUAUUAAAUAGUGAGGUAUUGAAUAGUGAGGUGUAAAUAGUGAGGUGUAAAUAGUGAGGUAUUGAAUAGUGAGGUAUUGAAUAGUGAGGUGUAAAUAGUGAGGUGUAAAUAGUGAGGUAAAAAUAGUGAGGUAUUGAAUAGUGAGGUAUUGAAUAGUGAGGUAAAAAUAGUGAGGUGUAAAUAGUGAGGUAUUGAAUAGUGAGGUAUUGAAUAGUGAGGUGUAAAUAGUGAGGUGUAAAUAGUGAGGUAAAAAUAGUGAGGUAUUGAAUAGUGAGGUAUUGAAUAGUGAGGUGUAAAUAGUUGUCACGUCCUGGCCAGUAUAUAAGGUUAAUUGUUUUGUAGUUUGGUCAGGGCGUGACAGAGGGUAUUUGUUUUAUGUGGUUCAGGGUGGUGUGUUUGUUUAAGGGUGUUUGUUUUAGUAAUUCCGGGUGUUGGUUUAUGUUUAGGUAUUUCUAUGUGGAGUCUAGUAUGUCUGUUUCUAUGUCUGGUGAAUUGGUGUUGGGACUCUCAGUUGAAGGCAGGUGUUUUCUAUCUGCCUUUGAUUGAGAGUCUCAUAAAUGAGGGUGUGUUUGUGUUUUGUGGGUGAUUGUUCUGUGUAAAGCCCUAUGCUUUGCCAGACUGUUAUUUGUUCGUCUUCGUAUUUUGUUAUUUUUGUAUGUUCAUUCUUAUAGUAAAUAAAAGUCAAGAUGAGCAUUCACGUACCUGCUGCAUAUUGGUCUACCUUUUCUGAUGACGAUUUCGCACUAUCGUCAGAGGACGAAGACAAGCGUGACAGAAUCACCCACCACUCAAGGACCAAGCAGCAGAGGAAGGAGCAGAAGGCGUUCGAGUUGGACUGGCGGGAGAAGUGGAC